UGAAACUACAGGUUCCCGUACGAUCACUGACUUUAAGCAACUUAGAACCUGGGCAGUACCUAGAUGGGUGACCACUUGAGAAUACCAGGUACUGUAAG